GGCUCGCAGGGAGAGCAUGGACCAAAGGGAGACCCUGGCUCUUAUGGAAUUAAAGGAGGAAAAGGAGAUCCCGGGAGGGACGGCGAACCAGGACGACCUGGAAACUAUGGACCAUUGGGCCCAAAGGGUGAUCCAGGCCCUCGUGGUCCUGACGGGGACAAAGGAGAGCGCGGCGAAGAUG